rnacentral:rRNA from 1 species
GCCUUAUGAUAAAAAUAUAAGGUGAAACCUGCUCAAUGGCCACAAAUAAAAAAUAACAGUGGUUAAAUAGCCGCGGUAACUCUGACCGUGAUAAAGUAGCAUAAUCACUCGUCACCUAAUUAGUGACUGGAAUGAAUGGUUACACGAAUCUUUACCUGUCUCAGCGAUAAAUCUAAUGAAAUUGAAAUAGUAGUGAAGAUGCUAUUUAUUGAUUGCAAGACGAAAAGACCCUAUCGAGCUUUACUAAAGCCCUAGAUAGAAGACCUUAAAAACAAUUUGAAAGUAAUAGAAUCCAGGGUAAUUAGUUUGGUUGGGGCGACCACCUCUAAAACAGUAUCAGAGGAAACCUAAUGGUUAAUAAUAAUAUAAAAAACCUUACUGGAUAUUUACUAAUUAAUCAGUCACUAGAUAGUGGGGUAUAAUGACCCGUUGAUUCCGUCUUAAAAAUCAACGACCGUGAAAAAAGUUACCGUAGGGAUAACAGGGUAAUAUUUCUCAAGAGUUCGUAUCGACAGAAAUGUUUGCCACCUCGAUGUUGAAUUGUGAUGUCCUAAAGGUGCAGCAGCUUUUAAGGGUUG